UGGUUUUCCUUGUGGGAUUCUGUCAACUGCUACUCACCGUUCAGCCACCAGAUAGCACCAGACUCACCUCUCUCCAGAGUGGUGUGUCGUCAUCCUGCGCACCUGAGAUCAAUCUGCUCAUCAGGCGAGGAGUACAAGAGGAGCUGACUGCCGGAACUUGGAUGCCUGAGUGUUGGCCAGUAACGGUGUUUCACUCCUGAGAUGCCCUGGAUCCUCCUUAUGACGGUUUCUCCUGGAUUCUCCGACUGGCUGUCACCGCUCCUCUGUCUCCACUUCGACUGAACUUACCUGUCCACCCUCUGAUGCACUCCUUCCAGAUUCCCGUGGCCAACGCUGUUCCUCCUGGACCCACAAUGAAGCAAGGACCCCGUACACUUCAGUUAACCCUCCCAAAGCAACAAACUCCUGUUCAACAAUGUGGCGAUCACUCCGUGAGUCCAGUUCUGAGGCUGAAGCUCAGAAGCUUGGAAACUGAAGCUCUGAGGAGGAGAUGCGCCU